GCAAGUCGAACGGGGUAGCAAUACCCAGUGGCAGACGGGUGAGUAACACGUGGUCAACCUACCUCUGUGUGGGGGAUAACUAGCCGAAAGGUUAGCUAAUACCGCAUACGAUCGCUCUGGGGCAUCCCUAAGCGAUGAAAGGAGCAAUCCGCACGGAGAGGGGACUGCGUCCCAUUAGUUAGUUGGCGGGGUAAUGGCCCACCAAGGCAAAGAUCGGUAUCCGGCCUGAGAGGGCGCACGGACACACUGGAACUGAAACACGGUCCAGACUCCUACGGGAGGCAGCAGUGGGGAAUUUUGCGCAAUGGGGGAAACCCUGACGCAGCAACGCCGCGUGGAGGAUGAAGUCCCUUGGGACGUANACUCCUUUCGACCGGGACGAUAAUGACGGUACCGGUGGAAGAAGCACCGGCUAACUCUGUG
rnacentral:rRNA from 1 species